rnacentral:rRNA from 1 species
GAUGAACGCUGGCGGCGUGCCUAAUACAUGCAAGUCGAGCGAACAGACGAGGAGCUUGCUCCUCUGACGUUAGCGGCGGACGGGUGAGUAACACGUGGAUAAGCUACCUAUAAGACUGGGAUAACUUCGGGAAACCGGAGCUAAUACCGGAUAAUAUAUUGAACCGCAUGGUUCAAUAGUGAAAGACGGUUUUGCUGUCACUUAUAGAUGGAUCCGCGCCGCAUUAGCUAGUUGGUAAGGUAACGGCUUACCAAGGCAACGAUGCGUAGCCGACCUGAGAGGGUGAUCGGCCACACUGGAACUGAGACACGGUCCAGACUCCUACGGGAGGCAGCAGUAGGGAGUCUUCCGCAAUGGGCGAAAGCCUGACGGAGCAACGCCGCGUGAGUGAUGAAGGUCUUCGGAUCGUAAAACUCUGUUAUUAGGGAAGAACAAAUGUGUAAGUAACUAUGCACGUCUUGACGGUACCUAAUCAGAAAGCCACGGCUAACUACGUG